AAGACUAUACUUUCAGGGAUCAUUUCUAUAGUUUCUAACUUGAGGAAUGUGUUUCUAAAGUGUAUGGUCUCGCUAACCACGAUGAUGAGUCGUG